rnacentral:rRNA from 1 species
CCUACGGGAGGCUGCAGUGAGGAAUAUUGGUCAAUGGGCGCGAGCCUGAACCAGCCAAGUAGCGUGAAGGAUGACUGCCCUACGGGUUGUAAACUUCUUUUAUAAAGGAAUAAAGUGAGGCACGUGUCCCUUUUUGUUUUUACUUUAUGAAUAAGGAUCGGCUCACUCCGGGCCAGCAGCCGCGGUAAUACGGUGGAUCCGAGCGUUAUCCGGAUUUAUUUGGUUUAACGGGAGCGUAGGCUGUGCGGUAAGUCAGCUGUGAAAUGCACCCGGUCCACGGGGUGAAGUGCCAUUGAAACUGCCGUGCUGGAGUGCGGAUGCGGUGGGAGGAAGGUGAGGUGUAGCGGUGAAAUGCAUAGAUAUCACACAGAACACCGAUUGCGAAGGCAGCUCACGAGUCCGCGAUUGACGCUGAUGCACGAAAGCGUGGGUAUCAAACAGGAUUAGAUACCCUAGUAGUC